AUUGAACGCUGGCGGCAUGCCUUACACACGCAAGUCGAACGGUAACGGGCCUUCGGGUGCCGACGAGUGGCGAACGGGUGAGUAAUGCAUCGGAACGCACCUUUCAGUGGGGGAUAACGUAGCGAAAGUUACGCUAAUACCGCAUAUUCUGUGAGCAGGAAAGCAGGGGAUCGCAAGACCUUGCGCUGAUUGAGCGGCCGAUGUCAGAUUAGCUAGUUGGUGAGGUAAAGGCUCACCAAGGCGACGAUCUGUAGCGGGUCUGAGAGGAUGAUCCGCCACACUGGAACUGAGACACGGUCCAGACUCCUACGGGAGGCAGCAGUGGGGAAUUUUGGACAAUGGGGGCAACCCUGAUCCAGCCAUGCCGCGUGAGUGAAGAAGGCCUUCGGGUUGUAAAGCUCUUUCGGUCGGGAAGAAAUCGCAUGGGUUAAUACCCUGUGCGGAUGACGGUACCGGCGUAAGAAGCACCGGCUAACUACGUGCCAGCCGCCGCAGUAAUAC
rnacentral:rRNA from 1 species